rnacentral:rRNA from 1 species
AAACUUUCAACAACGGAUCUCUUGGUUCUCGCAUCGAUGAAGAGCGCAGCGAAAUGCGAUACCUAGUGUGAAUUGCAGCCAUCGUGAAUCAUCGAGUUCUUGAACGCACAUUGCGCCCCAUGGUAUUCCAUGGGGCAUGCCUGUCUGAGCGUCG